CACCUCCACGUCGUCAGGCACUUCUUCCAGGAAGUUAGAGGGAACCAGACCGCGGUGACCGUUGAUCUCGCCCUGGGGGGCAGAGGAAAGACAACGCCUCAGCGCCCUCCUUGCCGCAGACUUACCUUGGCGAUGGAAACCGGAGUGCCUGGAGAAAAUCCCCGCAGGCACGCGGAGAACAUGCAAACUCCACACAGGGAGGGGCGGGAUUGAACCCGAGUCCUCAGAACCGCGAGGCCGACAAGAUCCACUCACAUAAUAGAAGCCAUCUUCAUCAAUAUCACCAAACACUGCAAUGAUGUCACCGGUGCAGAAGGUCAGCUCCGCCUAACAGAGGAGAGAGGGAGAGAAUUGCAACACAGAUGGGUGACACGAUGCGCCAGUCCGAGAGCCUCACCCUGAUGAUCUGCCCCUCCUUGAAGGGCAACUCCUCAUCGGCGGCGUCCGGAUUGGGGGACAUGGAUAGAGGGUCGUAGUCAAAGAGCGCCACAAAUACCCGAAAGGUCUCCUCCGCCUCCGAUUCAUCGAAGAAGGUGGGAGAGUGACGAUCCCUGUAGCCGUCUUCAACACACAAAUAAGAAAUGAACAAGUGCAGAGGCAAACAAGAAGCAAGACAGAUCAUGGUGCAACACAGACAGCGUAGCCAAGGACAUUGGCACCAUUCGACGUGCCCGUGGGAGACAGAAGUGGGGGCUUCCAGCGGACCUGUAGCACCCCGGGAGCCUGCCCACAGAGCACCUGCACAUCUUGCGGAGGCAAGGGAGGGCCUGAAAGGUGAGACGGAUAUUCAAGGAGAUCAUUCUAUGGAAUACCAGCUGAAAAGACCAGAAAAUAAUCGAUGGAUUUCGGCAAUUAAACAUGAUGAUGGUGCCCAACCAAAUACAUAGACUGUGUAGCGAUUGCUUCAUUUCAGCACAGCUUGCUCAAGGUCUCGGUCAGCUCGAAGCCGGGCCUGGACGAAGAAGACACACGCUGACACGCGACACAAUAAUCGCGAUCCGCGCACUCCAAGAGAACAAUGCGCACCUGACACGCUGUCAACGCUGUACACUCAACGAGCCUCAACGCAGAGACAAGCUUGCGUAGUGCAGCUUUAAUGAACCGUCACGGGUUUGUUUCCGGGCACAUUACAGAAAUUUAAGACAAAGUAAGGCCGGGAACCGCAAUAUAUUGCAAGAACAGCUUUAAAACUACAACAAACUGAUUUGAGAUGCCUUUUACUCUCUUGUCUUGGGAUCAUUUUAAAGUGCAACGAGUUUUGGCUUUUAGGGAAUGACGAAUGUAUUAUCAAUGGAUGGUUUGGAAUGCCAACAUUUGUGCUGGCUUGCUGUGUCACACGAUCACGAAAAUACAUAAUUAAUUCCUGUUUUAUAUAGGCGUAAUGCAGUUUGUCGAUUGUAAGCAAUAGAUGAUGAAAUGCCAAAAGCAGGAAAACAACUUGAUCAGAAUCAGACGUCGCUGUUGCAUAGUUACGCUAACAACAAGAACAGAUUGAAAAGGGGCAUCCUGGGCAUUUUCAACUUUUAUCUUCUAACCCUGCUAAGAAAUCAAAAAAGAUCAUUUCCCACUGUGAGUAGUAAUUUGCACUAUCGUAGUGACUCAAAGCACACAAACAGAACACAAUCCAUUUAAAGUUCAAGUGUCAUGCCUAUAAACAUUCUAAAAUAGAUAUUGUGAUGAAAAAUACAUGUAACAUUAUUCACUUCAAUGUCAAUACGAAAAAAUAAAUAUGAUCUGUUCAUUACGUCACACCAUGACAUUCGCCAUUGAAAACACGCUGUGCCACCUACUAUGGGACACGGAAGCUCUUUUCAAAGAAGGGAAUGUCUCACAAUCGAGUGAAGUGACCGGGGCAAUAUUACUCCAUCGUUUCGAGCCAUAUUUAGAUGAUGUGUGGAUCACUUCUAACUAACAACAGACUCCCCGACAGUAUGUAUGAGCCAGCCCGGCCGAAGCCGUCCAGCGCGGAUGAGGCGCCACCGAAGCUGUCCGCCGCAGACACAAUCGAGUUUCGUGACCGGGGCAAUAUAUACUCUAUCGUUUCGUUUCGAGCCAUAUUUAGAUGAUAUGCGGAUCACUUCUAACUUACAACAGACUCCCAGACAAUAUUUAUGAGCCACCCGGCCAAUGGGUACAUCGACACAUUUAGCACCCCUGACUUACAUACGUGGAUCUUUUGUUACAUUCUGAGAGGAUUACAUCCCCUACCCCAACUACUGUUUUUUUAACUAGCGUUAUACACACCUACCUGUCAUUUGGAACCCACAAAGCUCUCGUCCUUUGCACCGUGCAAUCCAUUUUUCACAACGAACCAGGUCUUUUUGGAAAAGAAUCCAUCCUCCCAAGUGUUCGAAUAAUAUCUAGCAAUACAACGAGCCGGCAUUUUGGCCAACACAAAGGAACAAUGAGCUACCUUCCAGCAGGUAAAACUAGGAGAAACAUAGGAGACCGACUGAGUGGGGGUCUGCUACUAACAUCACUUCCUGCUUCUCCAAAACAAAUCCCUCGAAAGGAUUUUCAUGGCGGGAGUGAGAAAAAGCCAUAUACGUCAAAAUGUUGUGUGGUGAAAAAAAAGGAUGGGUCCAUUCCGGCAGCCUUUUUUUCAUUAAUAACAUACUAAAUAUGCAUUUCAUGCCAGUGGACCUUUAAGUUACUGUACACUAUGAUUCUACGUGCCAUAAGUGGAUAAACUUAUCAUUGUUUUCACAAUGCACAGCACAUAUAAGCAGAAUCAUGUGAUAGCUGUUUAAUUACA